rnacentral:lncRNA from 1 species
GAUUACUUUUCCAUGGUGUUCUUUAAAUUACAAUUUUCAUGAAUAGCAUAGGAAAACAGCAUGCCAUACAUGGCAAUUACGCAGGAUAACUAGCUUGACUUCUCAAAGGAUGAUGUCAUCAUCUGCAAUUUGCAUUCACAAUCACAGACUUUCUUGCUUUUUUUCCUUGAGUUUUCGCAGCUUUCCAACUUUGUCCGGGACACAACUCAACUCAAAUAAGCUUUAACAUCGUUUGGGAUAUGGUACCAAAACACAGAUAUACAUGAAUUAAAGUAUAGAUGGUCCUAAUU